rnacentral:lncRNA from 1 species
UCAGCCCUUUUUUAUAUUUUUAUUUAGAAACAAGGUCUGGCUGAGUUGCUUAGGGCCUCCUUAAAUUGCUGAGGCUGCCUUUGAACUCUUAAUCCUUCUGCCUCAGCCUCCUUAGCUACUGGGAUUACAGGUAUGUGCCACCAUGCCCUCCUACUUACCUAUUUUGAAGCCAUGAUUUUUCAUCUUACCAUGAGGGGUUUGGCUUACAUAACUUUCUAACUUCAAUAUACUGGUCAAUAUGGCAAAGUCUCUAAGCUCCAUUCCCUCAAAUCUCUGCAACUUUCCUAAAAUCUUCUUCAACCACAAGCAAGUUUUAUGUCUGGCAUCCUGCAAGAUCUUGAACUCCACCUUGACUUGCUCCAUGUAGAUGCAGAAUAGCUCUGAAGAAAUGUUCAGAGAAAAAGAUGUUUGGGGGCAAUCAUUUCCAAAUCCAAGGACACGAUAUCUAGAAAUGUUUUUUCGUACUGGUGGGUACAGAGAGAAAUUUCAGAUUUGUCUCCAAGAGAUAUCCUUUUGAGAAAUUGAUAGUUCCAUAGCCCUUGACACAAUUUGACCAUUUUAACUUGGUAAAAGAGAUAUUUUUCAACUGGGGAAAUAAAAUCCUCCAGACUAGCUUCAUUUAAGGACAGGCAGUCAUAACAGCCUAAUCACCUCCUGCAUCUCUGUGGCUUGUAGCCUCUACAAAACCCUUUGUCAGACAUGAUGUAAUUUCAACCCCACAACAGCCAUGUAAGAUAGGAUGGGCAGUUGUGAACAUCCCCACUGCCCAAAGAAGGAAGCUGAUCUCCAGAGAGAUUAUGUAACUCACCUAGGUCACAAAGCUUCUUAGGUUAUGUGCUACUCUGGGGAUGCCAGGCUUAUGGGCAAUAUGGUGUACCCACACGCCUCCCAACACUAAGCCUAAGCAGUAGCAAUUUUGCCUUAUCUGGUAGUCUCCUUGGAAACUGGCAAAAUAUUUAGUAUCUCCACCAGAUAAAAUUAAGCCAAGAAGUUUUCAAAGAAGGGGAUAUGAGAACAGCUUCUUAAGCAGGCUGAUGGGUGAAAGCAAGGGUUAAGGAGAGGGAAGACCACCCCGAUUCUUUAUCAAGAGGUUCCAUUGUAAUUCUUAUCGAUAAACACUUUUAAAGGGGCUGUUACACUAUCGACAUUCCAAUAUGCAUGAAAGUCAUUUAUAAAGGGUUGCACUCAACUCAAAAGUAACAGUCCUUUAGAAUAGUUUAUGGAGAAAUUUAUCUGCUUACAAAGGAAAAACACAGCAUGUAAGCAUUUUAUUGAUUAAAUGAAAUGCUGCAAGAAUAGAUUUCAGGUUCAUGAAUCAGGAGAAAGAUUCUUCUUGGCAUGCUUGUAAUUUUGCUUAGUCAGUUCUGCAGCUAGAAGAUAAUAGCAUAUAACUUUCUCUUUCUGAUGUUCCCUGCUUGGAUUCAGAAAGAAAGGAUCCUCUAUGGCUUCUCCCUCACUCACUCUUGGAGGCAGCCUGUUCACCUAGGGAUGUGUACUGGGAGGGCUCUGACUGAGGGAUCUUGGGAUGUGAGCUAGGGUCACCUCUGAUAAACACACAGGGAUGUUAGUUCUUAAACCUUCCAGAUGCUGCACUAGAUGAUCCAGAGGGCUUACAGCUGGGGUAUAAGAAAUGUCCUUUCCUUCUCCCAGAAAGCAGUUGCUG